GAUGAACGCUAGCUACAGGCUUAACACAUGCAAGUCGAGGGGUAACAAGAGAAAAGCUUGCUUUUCUUGUUGACGACCGGCGCACGGGUGAGUAACGCGUAUCCAACCUGCCUAUAACUAGGGAAUAACCUUGCGAAAGUAAGACUAAUGCCCUAUGACUUCCUUUGGCGGCAUCAAAAAAGGAAUAAAGAUUUAUCGGUUAUAGAUGGGGAUGCGUCUGAUUAGCUUGUUGGCGGGGUAACGGCCCACCAAGGCAACGAUCAGUAGGGGUUCUGAGAGGAAGGUCCCCCACAUUGGAACUGAGACACGGUCCAAACUCCUACGGGAGGCAGCAGUGAGGAAUAUUGGUCAAUGGGCGGAAGCCUGAACCAGCCAAGUAGCGUGCAGGAUGACGGCCCUAUGGGUUGUAAACUGCUUUUAUACAGGGAUAAAGUUAGCCACGUGUGGUUAUUUGCAGGUACUGUAUGAAUAAGGACCGGCUAAUUCCGUGCCAGCCGCCGCCGUAAGAC
rnacentral:rRNA from 1 species